AAGACAGGUCAGAUGUUAGGUACGGACUAGGGAGGGUACAGGUAGAGGAAGACAGGUCAGAUGUUAGGUACGGACUAGGGAGGGUACAGGUAGAGGAAGACAGGUCAGAUGUUAGGUACGGACUAGGGAGGGUACAGGAAGACAGGUCAGAUGUUAGGUACGGACUAGGGAGGGUACAGGUAGAGGAAGACAGGUCAGAUGUUAGGUACGGACUAGGGAGGGUACAGGAAGACAGGUCAGAUGUUAGGUACGGUCUAGGGAGGGUACAUGAAGA